UACGUAGGGUGCGAGCGUUAAUCGGAAUUACUGGGCGUAAAGGGCUCGUAGGUGGCCAACUAAGUCAGACGUGAAAUCCCUCAGCUUAACUGGGGAACUGCGUCUGAUACUGGAUGGCUUGAGUUUGGGAGAGGGAUGCGGAAUUCCAGGUGUAGCGGUGAAAUGCGUAGAUAUCUGGAGGAACACCGGUGGCGAAGGCGGCAUCCUGGACCAACACUGACACUGAUGAGCGAAAGCCAGGGGAGCAAACGGG
rnacentral:rRNA from 1 species